AACGAACGCUGGCGGCAGGCUUAACACAUGCAAGUCGAACGCCCCGCAAGGGGAGUGGCAGACGGGUGAGUAACGCGUGGGAACAUACCCUUUUCUACGGAAUAGCUCUGGGAAACUGGAAUUAAUACCGUAUACGCCCUACGGGGGAAAGAUUUAUCGGGGAAGGAUUGGCCCGCGUUGGAUUAGCUAGUUGGUGGGGUAAAGGCCUACCAAGGCGACGAUCCAUAGCUGGUCUGAGAGGAUGAUCAGCCACAUUGGGACUGAGACACGGCCCAAACUCCUACGGGAGGCAGCAGUGGGGAAUAUUGGACAAUGGGCGCAAGCCUGAUCCAGCCAUGCCGCGUGAGUGAUGAAGGCCUUAGGGUUCUAAAGCUCUUUCACCGAUGAAGAUAAUGACGGUAGUCGGAGAAGAAGCCCCGGCUAACUUCGUG
rnacentral:rRNA from 1 species